UACGGGGGGGGCAAGCGUUGUUCGGAAUUACUGGGCGUAAAGGGCUCGUAGGCGGCCAACUAAGUCAGACGUGAAAUCCCUCGGCUUAACCGGGGAACUGCGUCUGAUACUGGAUGGCUUGAGUUUGGGAGAGGGAUGCGGAAUUCCAGGUGUAGCGGUGAAAUGCGUAGAUAUCUGGAGGAACACCGGUGGCGAAGGCGGCAUCCUGGACCAACACUGACGCUGAGUGAGCGAAAGCUAGGGUAGCGAACGGG
rnacentral:rRNA from 1 species